rnacentral:misc_RNA from 1 species
GAUGAAUAACGUAGCGAAAUGUGAUAAUUAAUGUGAAUUGCAGAAUUCCGUGAAUCAUCGAGUCUUUGAACGCACAUUGCGCCUCAUGGCAUUCCGUGAGGCAUGCCCAUCUCAGCGUUAGAAAAUAUUCUCAAAUUUUAGUUUUGUGCUAAAAUUUGGAUCAUGUCAAGGAAGCUAUUACUAUUAUUGUGAUCGCUCUUUGGAAAUUGAUAGGUCUUUGAGUUGCUACUCAUAGAACGUGAUGAAUCUUUCUUCGUUCUAUUGUAAUUCACUCUGGUAGUCCUAAAACUUGUAUGCCUGUGGCAUAUCUUGUAAUUUGACCUGAGAUUGGGCAGGGAUACCCGCUGAACUUAAGCAUAUCAAUAAGCGGAGGA